UACGUAGGUGGCAAGCGUUGUCCGGAGUUAUUGGGCGUAAAGCGCGCGCAGGCGGUGCGGUAAGUCUCUGGUGAAAGCGCUCGGCUUAACUGGGCGAGGGCCGGGGAGACUGCCACGCUGGAGGGGAGCAGAGGCGAGUGGAAUUCCGGGUGUAGUGGUGAAAUGCGUAGAGAUCCGGAGGAACACCGAUGGCGAAGGCAAUCCCCUGGACCUGUACUGACGCUCAUGCACGAAAGCGUGGGGAGCAAACAGG
rnacentral:rRNA from 1 species